UACGUAGGGUCCGAGCGUUGUCCGGAAUUACUGGGCGUAAAGCGUGCGCAGGCGGCUUUCCAAGCGCCACGUGAAAGCCCCGGGCUCAACCCGGGAGGGUCGUGGCGAACUGGGAGGCUUGAGGCCGGUAGAGGUGGGUGGAACUCCUGGUGGAGUGGUGAAAUGCGUAGAUAUCGGGAGGAACACCUGUGGCGAAAGCGGCGCACUGGACCACAACUGACGCUGAGGCGCGAAAGCUAGGGGAGCAAACAGG
rnacentral:rRNA from 1 species